GAGCGAUAUGAUCCACAAGGGAAAGAAACUCCACGAUCCAAGGAAUAGUGAGGACAGAACGCUGAUUCCUAAUGGAUCGUCUCAGAAGCUUCAAUAUGUCCAGUACAGGCAAAGUUUGGUUCCUCAAUGCUACUGCAGUGUCUUGCAGGUCUCUAGUAGGUUGUUCCACAGUGCGAUAUGGCAAGAACACAAGAAAGCCCAGGAACUUGGCAAGGAGUCUCAAACUUAACAGUACCACAGUGAAACGCUUCUUUUCAUCCUGUUCAUCCAUAUCUGCUUCCCCAUCACUGUGCUCAUGCUCCACCAGAGUAAGGCCAUCUAGCUCAAGUAUCUUCAGGCACAGGCUAUCCACCAGGUGCUGAUUGAAC
rnacentral:lncRNA from 1 species